rnacentral:rRNA from 1 species
AUGCAUAGCCGACCUGAGAGGGUGAUCGGCCACACUGGGACUGAGACACGGCCCAGACUCCUACGGGAGGCAGCAGUAGGGAAUCUUCCGCAAUGGACGAAAGUCUGACGGAGCAACGCCGCGUGUAUGAAGAAGGUUUUCGGAUCGUAAAGUACUGUUGUUAGAGAAGAACAAGGAUAAGAGUAACUGCUUGUCCCUUGACGGUAUCUAACCAGAAAGCCACGGCUAACUACGUGCCAGCAGCCGCGGUAAUACGUAGGUGGCAAGCGUUGUCCGGAUUUAUUGGGCGUAAAGCGCGCGCAGGCGGUCUUUUAAGUCUGAUGUGAAAGCCCCCGGCUUAACCGGGGAGGGUCAUUGGAAACUGGAAGACUGGAGUGCAGAAGAGGAGAGUGGAAUUCCACGUGUAGCGGUGAAAUGCGUAGAUAUGUGGAGGAACACCAGUGGCGAAGGCGACUCUCUGGUCUGUAACUGACGCUGAGGC